CAGAAAACCUGCUCCAUGUAGCGACACCUGUGAAAAACAAAUUAUCAAUCAAAAGUGAACAUUUCCAUAAGGUGCUGCCCUGAAAGCCUACCCAAAGGCCACCUACCUAGAGGUAGAUGAAAAGAUUGCAGACACCCUCAAGCAUGCACCUGCUCGGCUGAAGAGUAAGAGAAAGGAGCAGAUUGGACAAGAUGUUGAGAAGGAGGGCACAGAUGAAGAACCAGCACCUGAAUAAAUGUGACUUUUUU